rnacentral:rRNA from 1 species
CCUACGGGGGGCAGCAGUGGGGAAUAUUGCACAAUGGGCGCAAGCCUGAUGCAGCCAUGCCGCGUGUGUGAAGAAGGCCUUCGGGUUGUAAAGCACUUUCAGCGGGGAGGAAGGCGGUGAGGUUAAUAACCUCAUCGAUUGACGUUACCCGCAGAAGAAGCACCGGCUAACUCCGUGCCAGCAGCCGCGGUAAUACGGAGGGUGCAAGCGUUAAUCGGAAUUACUGGGCGUAAAGCGCACGCAGGCGGUCUGUCAAGUCGGAUGUGUAAUCCCCGGGCUCAACCUGGGAACUGCAUUCGAAACUGGCAGGCUAGAGUCUUGUAGAGGGGGGUAGAAUUCCAGGUGUAGCGGUGAAAUGCGUAGAGAUCUGGAGGAAUACCGGUGGCGAAGGCGGCCCCCUGGACAAAGACUGACGCUCAGGUGCGAAAGCGUGGGGAACAAACAGGAUUAGAUACCCGUGUAGUC